rnacentral:rRNA from 1 species
AGCGAACGCUGGCGGCAGGCUUAACACAUGCAAGUCGAACGCCCGGGCAACCGGGAGUGGCAGACGGGUGAGUAACGCGUGGGAACAUGCCCUUUGGUUCGGAAUAACUCAGGGAAACUUGAGCUAAUACCGGAUAAGCCCUAACGGGGAAAGAUUUAUCGCCGAAGGAUUGGCCCGCGUCCGAUUAGCUAGUUGGGGUGGUAAUGGCGCACCAAGGCGACGAUCGGUAGCUGGUCUGAGAGGAUGAUCAGCCACACUGGGACUGAGACACGGCCCAGACUCCUACGGGAGGCAGCAGUGGGGAAUAUUGGAAAAGGGGGGCAACCCUGAUCCAGCCAGGCCGCGUGAGUGAUGAAGGCCCUAGGGUUGUAAAGCUCUUUCGGCGGGGACGAUAAUGACGGUACCCGCAGAAGAAGCCCCGGCUAACUUCGUGCCAGCCGCCGCAGUAACAC